AGAGUUUGAUCCUGGCUCAGAACGAACGCUGGCGGCAGGCUUAACACAUGCAAGUCGAACGCGUGUAGCAAUACACGAGUGGCGCACGGGUGAGUAACACGUGGAUAUCUGCCUUUUGGUUCGGAAUAACUCCGGGAAACUGGAGCUAAUACCGGAUGGUUCCUACGGGAUAAAGAUUUAUCGCCAAAAGAUGAGUCCGCGCACGAUUAGCUAGUUGGUGAGGUAAUGGCUCACCAAGGCGACGAUCGUUAGCUGGUCUGAGAGGACGAUCAGCCACACUGGGACUGAGACACGGCCCAGACUCCUACGGGAGGCAGCAGUGGGGAAUAUUGGACAAUGGGGGCAACCCUGAUCCAGCCAUGCCGCGUGAGUGAUGAAGGCCUUCGGGUUGUAAAGCUCUUUUGGCGGGGACGAUGAUGACGGUACCCGCAGAAUAAGCCCCGGCUAACUUCGUGCCAGCCGCCGCGGUAAUAC
rnacentral:rRNA from 1 species